rnacentral:lncRNA from 1 species
CUCUUUCUCCUGUUUGGCCGUGUACCAAGUUCCUGCCUGUCUUCUGUCUUCACCCGUGACUUGCCUCAAGUAGUUGGCUCCUUUCCCACCGGCUACUUUGUAACUGCGAAUAUGACAACAUGACGGUGAUUCACAGAUGCCAAAAUAUGACGAGCAGAGCAAAUCUGUGUUCCAGAUAUGAUAAGAUAAAACCCCAUCGUAAGUGGAGAAGCACCUGCAUUGUGAUGUUAGCUCCAUGCACGCACUUCAUCCGUGCUUUGCCUGAUGCGUCUCUUCCAUUUGGCCGUUUUUGAGUGGUAUCCUUUAUAAGAAUAACCCAGUAAUAGUUGAAUUUGGUGAGAGGCCCAAGAGCCCAUGCUGAGUCUCGUCCUUCUAAAGCCCUUCACUAAGCAUUGUGUUGUUCAGUGAAUGUUCCUCCUCUGGAUUCACAUUACUACUCACUAGCACCUCAUUUGACGGUGGAUGUAGACUCAUUUGCAUGCUUAUUUCCUGUUUUAUGUUUAUGCCGACCUUCUUAAAUAAAAUAAAUCCUUUAUGAGUUCUACCUCAUUUUAUUCCCCUUUUUCACCACUUUGACCAUACUGAUUCCCCCAAAACCUGUUCUAGAAAAUGUAUUUAAUAAUGUUGAUGAUGACAAUGAUGUCUAAUGUCAAUAAUGACAUGGUAAAAAAUUUCUGUUUCAGGAAUUUUUUUUUACAUUCAAUAAAGAUACAAUACAUAGAUGAAGUAUAAUUUUAAAACAUGGUCACUUUCGGAAUUCUGACAAUCUUUGAAAAACCAAAAGAGGCAAAAUGGA